rnacentral:rRNA from 1 species
UGGGGAAUAUUGGACAAUGGGCGAAAGCCUGAUCCAGCCAUGCCGCGUGUGUGAAGAAGGUCUUCGGAUUGUAAAGCACUUUAAGUUGGGAGGAAGAGCAUUAACCUAAUACGUUAGUGUUUUGACGUUACCGACAGAAUAAGCACCGGCUAACUCUGUGCCAGCAGCCGCGGUAAUACAGAGGGUGCAAGCGUUAAUCGGAAUUACUGGGCGUAAAGCGCGCGUAGGUGGUUUGUUAAGUUGGAUGUGAAAUCCCCGGGCUCAACCUGGGAACUGCAUUCAAAACUGACUGACUAGAGUAUGGUAGAGGGUGGUGGAAUUUCCUGUGUAGCGGUGAAAUGCGUAGAUAUAGGAAGGAACACCAGUGGCGAAGGCGACCACCUGGACUAAUACUGACACUGAGGUGCGAAAGCGUGGGGAGCAAACA